GGUUGCUUUUGUUUGUGACCGGCAUUCUGUCUUCGGGGACGAAGGCAGUGCUAAAAGAAUAUACAACGCUCAUUCGACUGAAACAUGUCUAAACUACAGUCAUUGUGUGAUAUUUUAAAUUAUCACUUAAAGGUGGCUGCUGUGGAGAAUUUAGGAGCAGUUGAGAAAAAGGUAGCUGAGUAACUUACAAGGUCGGAGAUGAAUGGUCGGCUACUGAAACAGCUCCGGGUUAGACUGGAGGUAAAACUAUGCGGAAUAGACUCCCUGCAGCUCUCUGUCUCUGAAGAGGAGGUUCCCCCUGAGCAGCAGGACUGUGAGCAGGAGUGGAGCCCCAGUCUGGGGCAGGAUAAACUCUUGUGGCAGAUGCUUGUAACAUAAAUGAUUAAGGACAGGAGGACAAACAUGGAGCAGCCACUGUCUCCUGGGGGAAAACACGGAUUUGCCAACAACCCCGGUAUCCAAAGGGCUGGAAGAAGAAUGGUGUCGAAUGUGUUGAUGUGUUGAGUACAUUUGAUGCAAUAACGAAGAAGAAUGGUGUCGAAUGUGUUGAUGUACAUUUGAUGCAAUAACGAAGAAGAAUGAUUUUCUUUUAGGGAAAGAUUAUUCAAUAAAAACUGACUACACCUCUGCCUUGGAGGAGCUGAUUGGUCCCGUAACCGUUGUCGAUAACCUGACAUCUGUCUGUAGUAACUGCAAAGGUCUGCUCUCCCAGUAUCACAGCUGUAACGCAGAUGCUCAGAGAAUCACUCGUCUGGUGAAAAACAUGACAAGGGAGCUUACAGUCGGAUUUAAAAGGUGCACCACGUCUACUGAGAAAUCGACGGAGAGGAAAAAGGCCACACUCUGUCACUUCUGUCCGCUGCAAGACAGAUUGGCUCUGCAUGAAGAAAUCUGAUUCAUUCUGCAUCCGUCCCAUCAUCAACAUCAUCAACCACUGUGACUGCACCGACCACACCAACUCCUGCAAUGUGGUCUCCAGAAACCAUAAAGGUUAGUAUCAAUGUUCUAUCUGUCAAUAAAAUGUAUUGUGCAGCGUAGAGCCCUUCUCCAAAGAACUAACCAGAGCCUGUAUCCACAAAGCCUGUCAGUAAGAGUGCUGAUCUAGGAAUAGUUUCUUUUUAGCUCAUAAUGAAUUAGAUUAUAUGGACAGGUUAGGACCUGAUCCUAGAUCAGCAUUCUAACUCCGAGGAUCUUUGUGGAUAUGGGUCCAGCUGACAGUUGUGCUGUAGUUAAAUGUUGGUGUUUGUGUAAUUAUCUAGCUUGUUAUUGUCUUCAACGGUACUGUGUAUAUGUACAGCAGCGUUGGGUUCGAUUCCAUUUCAAAUCAAACCAAAUUCCGACUCAAAAUGUUCUUUGUUGAAGAGCAUUUUAAUUCCUGUGUACUUCCUGAAUUGACUGGCGUUGAAAUGGGAUUGAUCCCAACCCUGCUGUAGCUAUGUGCCUCUAUUUCCUUGACUGUGUCCAUUUCAUAAUACUGUCUGUAUAACCUGUAGUACAGGGGUGUCAAACUCAUUCCAUGGAGGGCCGAGUGUCGGUUUUUCCUUUUUAUGAACCUCUGCGGGAUCGGUGUCCCUAUACCGGGACAGUUGAGCUAACAUGCGCUAAUGUGAUUAG